GUGCUUGCUUCGGCAGCACAUAUGGUAAAAUGGGAAUGACACGAAGACUAACAUGGCCCCUGUGCACGGAUGACACACACAUUUGUGAAGAGUUUCAUGUUUUU